rnacentral:tRNA from 1 species
GGAAAGGUGACCGAGUGGUCGAAGGUGCUCGCCUGCUAAGCGAGUGAGGGGUUAAAAGCUCCUCCGAGGGUUCGAAUCCCUUCCUUUCCGCCA